rnacentral:sRNA from 12 species
CGCCUAAACUCGUCGUAAGCGAUCGGCGAGCAUGGCUUAAAAACCAGUAACGGAUAGAGAACCCAUCAUUGUGGGGCUACCGUUACUGGUCAUACUGGGAAACUGGUAUGGAUGACGCAAGUCAUC